rnacentral:rRNA from 1 species
CACGUAGGGGGCGAGCGUUGUCCGGAUUUAUUGGGCGUAAAGAGCUCGUAGGCGGCUCGGUAAGUCAGGUGUGAAACCUCUGGGCUCAACCCAGAGACGCCACCUGAUACUGCUGUGGCUAGAGUCCGGUAGGGGAGCGUGGAAUUCCUGGUGUAGCGGUGAAAUGCGCAGAUAUCAGGAGGAACACCAGCGGCGAAGGCGGCGCUCUGGGCCGGAACUGACGCUGAGGAGCGAAAGCGUGGGGAGCGAACAGG